rnacentral:tRNA from 2 species
GUAGAUCACGACGGUUUGUAGUUUAAUUGGCAAAACAUAG